AGCUUUCUUUCAGGCUGGAUUGCAGAUUCUUAACAUACUCUGAAUAAGAAAUGGAUGAUUGUUCUCUGACGGGUAAACCAAAAGCCAAAUCCACAGGAAGACGAGGACAACGACCAAACAUGAGUUCAUAAGGGUUCCAAGCAUAUUGAGCAGAGUGCGGUUGAAGCGCUCGACUGGAUUCCCUCGUGGGUGGUACGGGGUAGUACGGCUUUUCUUCAUGCCUACAACUUCACAGAGCUCUUUAAUGAGCUUGGACUCAAAAUCUGUACCCUGGUCUGAAUGUAUACGCUCUGGAAUUCCAUAAUAAACCAUAAAUUCAUUCCAGA